AGCGAACGCUGGCGGCAGGCCUAACACAUGCAAGUCGAACGAAGGCUUCGGCCUUAGUGGCGCACGGGUGCGUAACGCGUGGGAAUCUGCCCUUGGGUUCGGAAUAACAGUUAGAAAUGACUGCUAAUACCGGAUGAUGUCGUAAGACCAAAGAUUUAUCGCCCAAGGAUGAGCCCGCGUAGGAUUAGCUAGUUGGUGAGGUAAAAGCUCACCAAGGCGACGAUCCUUAGCUGGUCUGAGAGGAUGAUCAGCCACACUGGGACUGAGACACGGCCCAGACUCCUACGGGAGGCAGCAGUGGGGAAUAUUGGACAAUGGGCGAAAGCCUGAUCCAGCAAUGCCGCGUGAGUGAUGAAGGCCUUAGGGUUGUAAAGCUCUUUUACCCGGGAUGAUAAUGACAGUACCGGGAGAAUAAGCUCCGGCUAACUUCGUGCCAGCAGCCGCCGUAAGAC
rnacentral:rRNA from 1 species